ACAUGUUCAAAAACGAUAGCGUGUACCUGAAUACAUGGCACUCCAAUGUGCCGAUUACAAGUGCCUAAUGAAAUCAUCCCAUUAAGAGAGGGAACACAGAUUUUAUUACACAAAUCAGGUGAAUGACAUUGAAAUAACCUUCCCUCUGUCCUCCAAAAUGCUUCCUUACAUCAUUAGAGGCGCUUGUAAUGCAUUGAAAGACAAUGUACAUCGCGGGUUACAUACAUGACAGUACAUUAUUAUAGGAUUAAACAACAGGAAGCUGUCCAACUAUUGUGCAGCAACAAUUCCCAUGAUGCUUUGCCUCCCAAAUCUAGCAAAGCAUGAUGGGGGGCUGGCGUCUGCAACAGCUAGAACGCUGCUUGUUGAUUGCAAUUGCAUUAUAAGAUCAGAUGGCUGCGUAACAGCAAAAAAAACAAACUAAAAAACAUUAAAAAAUUACAAAUAGAAAAUAAUAAAUAAAAUACAGCAGCAUUUUAAAAAAAGAAAUCAUGUCUUCUAUCACAGUUUGCAAUGUAUUUGUCAUAAGGAGAAAAGAAAUAUGUACAUAAUUAAAAGAAAGUGCAUUUUAGACAUUUCACGAACAGGGGGUCCAAAAGUACAUUACUAAACAAUGCACACUGGUCCUGCUGCAUAUAUCUCUAUAUAAAAAAAAAAAAAAAUAAACGAAAGAAAAACCGUAAACUCUAAAUGUAGUCUGGAAAAUGCUGGCGUUCAAGAAAAUAUGCUUUAAGCCCCUACACAGCUUUACAGACAUUUAAUUCAUCAAUACUAGUCUCUAAGAUAUUCAAGGCAAAUUUCCUAUAAUUCAUUCAGAGUAUUGGCCUACACAGCCUGCCUUUUUUUUAGGAUUCUAAACAGUAUCCAUCCCCAUUCAGGUAAGCUCUGUUUAAUUUUUAAGCUCUGUGUACUUUGGACUGGUAUGUUGCUUCCUAUCAUGCAGGUUUUCCUUAUGACGUACCUAUGCGACACGGUCCAAGCCUUUCGGUUUAAAAUGUGUACAGCCUUUAGAGAAAGGGUGAUUUAUUUAUUUUUCUCCCGGCAGUUUUACCUGGGUUGUAAAUAUAUCAUUGCCACACACCGAAAGAAGGGAAGGUGUUACAUGUGUGAUAGGAUAGCCUUGUUAAAGACUGAAUGGAAGCUUGGUAUUAAAGAAUAAUGGGCACAAUAAAUAUUAAAUUAGGCAGGGCAUAGGGACAGAACAUCCUGCAACAAACUAGGAAGAAAUGCCUCUAGGAAAGCGUACCAGGGCUAAAUCACUGAAAUUGUGUAACUUUUUUUUUCUUAAUAUGAAGUAUUUUUAACAGCACAGUUUGUUUAUCCUCAUUGGAUUCACAGAUCCUUAUUAAAUAUGAUUUCAUAAUAAAAUGUAAUGAUAGAUGCAACACAAUUAUACUAUGGUAUUUGGCAAAAUGCAUUAUUGGAAAGAAGCUGCACUAUAGAUCCCAAUUCACAUUUCCUGUUGGGUAAUAAACACAGGCCAGUUUAUAUGCUACAGUAUUCCCUUACAGCCACACCAGGAAUGGUUAAUUAAUCACAGCAGGAACACAGUCCAAUACACUAAUAUAAGGAUAAACGGCAUAACACAUGCCAGUCAUUGUAAACAACUAAGCUGUACCUAGGACAGCCCGCCAUGACAUCUCUCAGAAUACAAACUGUAUAGAUCAGAUCUGGGCGUAGAGUAGAUCCCGAGGUGCAGAAUUAAAACUCCCAUAAUCAUAUGGGAUGUACAGAUUGGCCACUCCCCGUAAAUAAAUAAAAUAGGGCUCAAAUAGAUUACGGGCAAGUGGUUCAUUCAAGUAGACUGCCUGCAUUGAGGUGGGGGAAAGUAAAGAGGGCGAAAUGCAAAAUAACAGUUGUGAAAAACAAAAUGACUAUUUAAAAAAAAAAAAAAAACCAAACAUGCCCCUAUUUCCCAUUUUACAUUCUGAAAGUAGUUCUCAAGGUCCAAAAGGCACUGAAACAAGGAUAAUCAAUGAACACAGGAAGUGGACUACUGGAGUGACUGCUAAUGGACCCUUCGGUGGCUUGUCUGCUUGUGCAAUAUAGAAUGAGCUAGUUUACUCAACCUGAGCUUAUAAGAUUUUUUAUUUACAGGAUCAUCUUGUAUGUCUCUAUGGGUUUCCAGAACAGAUCACACCUGCAACUCACAUUUAAUUUGUUCUGGAUAUCCAAAGGUAUAAUACGAGGGACAACUAUUACUACAAGACAAAUCAGAUUGUUCCUAAUAAAACUGCAUAUAUCAUAAUGCAUUCAGAUCACCUGUCUGAGUUACAAGCUCCAACUGUGAACACUAUAAAGAGACACUGCUGUUGCACACACACAUCCAGGUAUAGAUCGAUAGAUGUUUUGGUACACAAUCCCAACAAUUUCGUUGUCUCUCAGUGUAUGCUGUUCCUGCUUACAUUUUCCGGAUGCAAGGUGUUAGCAGGAACAGCAUACACUGAGAGACACAACCAAGUUGCUGGGAUUGUGUACUGAAACAUCUGCACAGAAUAUGGAUUGGACCUGCCUAAAUCCAGAUGGGAGAUACCGCAGAGGGUAGUUGAGAAUGACAGGGCUAAGAUCCAGACAGACAAGCAAGUACUGGCCAACCAACCUGACAUUGUGAUGGUUGACAAGGAACGGAAGACUGCAGUCGUGGUGCAUGUGGCAAUACCCACAUGAGAAGAUGGACAAAUGCCAAGAAUUAAAAGAAGAGUUGGAAAGGAUGUGGAAAGUGAUCGCAGUUGUAGUCCCAGCUGUGACAGGAGCACUUUGGGCUGUUACUCCUAAGUUGGGGAAGAUUCCAGGUGGAACAUCUGAGAUCCCUUUCCAGAAGAGGGUAGCUCUAGGAACAGCUAAGAUACUGCGCAGAACCCUCAGACUUCCAGACCAUAUACACCAUGUAGAGAGACAGGCACACACACACACAGACAGAACACAACAGCACGGUCUCUAUAUUUUCAAUAAAACUGUAGUGAAAAACAUUGCACAGGCAAAUUGAAAUCCCGGAUAAGUAUUUUUGCUGUCUCCUACAAAUAGGACGCCAGAAAAACAACGUAGAGUGUGUAAAUUGACCCCAAGGGGCAGUGGGAAUAUAUACAAAAUAUAUUCCACAAUUAACUACACAACAUAUUGCAACGUUCGAAACUUCACUAUUGGGAGAUUGAUGUGUUUGAGGGAUGCCACCAGUAGGAGAUAAAACAUUGGGUAGUAAUGAAGGGGUCCCAGAAACACAAAUUAUACCAAGUCCAUUUAUAAAAAAAAAAUAAAAAAACAAGCAUAAACCUGGCACUUACUGCAAGUAUACACAAUAGGUCACUAAGCACUACAACACAAUCAAAUAUACAAAAUAAACUAUUGUUUUAUCCAGAUGUUGGGGUAUUUUUUGUUUGUUUUCUUAUAACCUUUGACCUUUCAACUUCGAAAAAAUAUAAUUUAUAGAGAAAACGGACAGAUAGAUGGGUAAUGUUUGAUUGAAUUUGUCAAUGGCAUUUUGCCUUAAAUAUACCUUAUAGUAAUUGCCUAAUAGCCAUGGAUUCUGCUGGUUAUAUCGUAUAAAUCAGGAUUAUGGUCAAACACUUAAAGUCUUUUUUCAUUCUCAUGUUAAUGGCGAGUCCUGAUGACCCACUAUGGAAAUCUAUGCCAUACUAUAAGUAACUGUUGAGAAAGGGAGAUCUGGUACUCAAUUUACUCUCUACCCCACACAGUAAGCACUGCACCAUCUUGGGGAAUAAUCAAUAUUACUGUACACACACACACAACACAGACUUGGGAGAUAUCUCCAGGUAAAGAAAUUGUUCCCAGAUAGUGUAACCAUAACUGUGAAUUAGCCAAAUACUGCCCAGAGCACUUGUGUCCAGAUGCUAAUUAGAGAUUCUAUUAUUCAAUAGAACGGUUAGGUUAGUACUUAUUGUCCCUGUCUUAAGGAUUUUGGAUUGCAAUGGAAUUUACAUUUUAAUCAAAUAUUGAAAAGUGACAUUACUUUUAAAGGGACACUCCUGGCACCAUAACAACUUAACUGGAUUGCAGUUGUUAUGAUGUAAGGAGGUCCCGGGUGCCGAUUUACCCAUUAAGAAUAGAUUGUGAAAAAGAUUUGUAACUUAUUUACCGUUUUUUUUAACAGGUAACUACUGAUGGACUCAAAUUACAUCAUACCCAGUUCAGACAAGGCAAAAUCUAGUCAAACAUUGUAAAUGAAAAGCAGAAAUAAAUGCUGUUUCAUUUCUCAAACUCUCUGUAUGCUUUCUCUAUGCAGACUACACAGUGCAAAGGACAGAGCUUAUAACAACGACAUUUAGGGAGCGAAAAUUAAAGGCGCCCAGUUGCUGAAUAAAAAGUGUGGAUUUUUAUAUAAAAUCUUGUUUUUCACACAUUAACUCAUAUUUGUUCAAUAUAGGUAUUAGUGAACAUAAUAAGAAAAAUGACGAGAAUAAAAUCUCCCCUUUCAAGGAACACUCCAUUGA
rnacentral:lncRNA from 1 species